rnacentral:rRNA from 1 species
AGAGUUUGAUCAUGGCUCAGGACGAACGCUGGCGGCGUGCCUAACACAUGCAAGUCGAACGGGACCAGGGGCAACUCUGGUUCAGUGGCGGACGGGUGCGUAACACGUGAGGAACAUGACUUUCGGCGGGGGAUAGCCGGCCCAACGGCCGGGUAAUACCGCGUACGACCUCUUGGGGACAUCCCCGAGUGGUGAAAGCAGCAAUGCGCCGAAAGAGUGCCUCGCGGCCUAUCAGCUAGUUGGUGGGGUAAUGGCUCACCAAGGCGACGACGGGUAGCUGGUCUGAGAGGAUGGCCAGCCACAUUGGGACUGAGACACGGCCCAGACUCCUACGGGAGGCAGCGGUGGGGAAUAUUGCGCAAUGGGCGAAAGCCUGACGCAGCGACGCCGCGUGUGGGAUGACGGCCUUCGGGUUGUAAACCACUGUCGGGAGGGACGAAUGCGCCGCAAGGCGAGUGACGGUACCUCCAAAGGAAGCACCGGCUAACUCCGUGCCAGCAGCCGCGGUAAUACGGAGGGUGCGAGCGUUGUCCGGAAUCACUGGGCGUAAAGGGCGCGUAGGCGGCCUGGUAAGUAGGGGGUGAAAUCCUGCGGCUUAACCGCAGGGCUGCCUUCUAAACUGUCAGGCUCGAGCACAGUAGAGGCAGGUGGAAUUCCCGGUGUAGCGGUGGAAUGCGUAGAGAUCGGGAAGAACAUCAGUGGCGAAGGCGGCCUGCUGGGCUGUUGCUGACGCUGAGGCGCGACAGCGUGGGGAGCAAACAGGAUUAGAUACCCCAGUAGUCC